rnacentral:rRNA from 1 species
AUGGCCCAACGCGUGUUUGUUUAUGUCAAGAAGAAAAGUCUGGGACGGCAUAAACAAGUGGUUGAUACUUUAACGCAAGUGGUUGGAAGCUGCUCUCCAUUGACUUGGACCGUAUCGCCCAGUGGUUUUGAGAAGAUAAGCUCCGUGCACACUGCCGAUCCUCCGCCAAACAUCCGUCCAGAGCGCAGGCGUACACACGCACAAACGAAGCAAGCAGCGAGGACGAAGCCCAUGGAGGUACUGGCGUGCUCCGGCGGCCUGGAUCCCGUGAGACUGGCGGAGGCGCCGCAGCUGCUGCGCUCGGCCUCUCGGGCCAUGAAGGAGCUGGCCGCCGACAUCCAGUCCUGCGACGGCACCCACCGGAAAUGGACGCCUAGGUCCACGAGGUGCGGGUGGAAGGCCGGCGCCCCCGAUCUGGAGGCUCUUGAGGCCCAUUUGCUCCAGAUCUGGGGCAUCUCCGCCGCCACCGAGCCACGGCGCGCCCAAGACAAGGCGCUGGCUCUGCAGGCCAGGGACGUCGUCUACCUCAUCCAGAACCUUCAAGACAUGAUCCACUACCACAGGUUCCACUCCUCCAACCCGCCUCGCCUUCUCAGCCAUCAUCAAUCCAAGCCCCUUCCCGCUCUCACGUGGUGUGGUUUCAACUGCCUCCCUUUUGGAAUAGUUGCGUCCAAACCACCCAUCAAGGUUGUCCAUGAAGAAACUCUCAAGAUUGGCAAUAUGCUGGACAAGGCCGCCGGCGGCUCAUCCUUCAAUUCGCUGCCGCCGGCAAUGCCGCCGCCGCGGCGGCGUAUGCCUGAUUCAGGCAGGGGGGUUCUUCAGGCUGGGUUAUUUGUUGGGCGCCACAAGGAGAAGGGUGACAUCGUGCAAAUGCUCAUCCAGCCAUGCGCCAAGCCUGUUAUCUCCCUUGUUGGUGCUGGAGGAAUUGGGAAGACAACUCUUGCUCAGAUGGUGUUCAAUGAUGCAACGGUCAGGGACCAUUUUGAUGUCAAAUGUUGGGUGUCAGUUUCCUGUAGCUCCAACAAGAUGGAGCUCGUCGUGGCGGAUAUCCUAAGGUCGCUCAAACCGGCUUGGGAUGACAAGAUGGUGGAUUUUCAAACGCUUCAGUCCGAGCUCCGUCGGGCUCUUACAUCCAAGAGGUAUCUCAUUGUUCUCGAUGAUGUGUGGAACAGCAUGGAUGAAAUCUGGCUGGAUAUGCUCGCUCCUCUACAAUCAGCAGAUAUUGGGAGCAGAAUUAUAGCGAUUCAUCGCAUCGAAACCGUACCUCGCAACCUCACAGCGUCGUCGCAGCUGUACGCUGUGAAUCCGCUGAAUAGCGACGAUUGCUGGGCCCUGCUCAAGGAACAUGCUUUCCCAAGUGACAGCGGGGAUGUCUAUCCAGAUCUUCACCCGAUCGGGAAGCAGAUUGCUGCAAAAAUCAAUGGAUCACCUCUGGCUGCCAAGCUGGUAGGAGGUUUGCUGGGAGAUACAAGGAGCAAAAUUCACUGGACGAACAUCAUGGAAACAGGAUUACAAGAUGAUAAUGCUGUUUCCUCCGUCCUACGCUUGAGCUAUAAGUACCUACCGGUACACCUCAAGCGGUGCUUCGCAUAUUGCAGUUUGUUUCCAGAGGACUACAAGUUUGAUCCAGCACACUUGUCCCGCCUUUGGAUUGCCGAGGGUUUUGUUCAACCACAAGACAUGGCCGACAAAAGGAUGGAAGACAUUGCUAGAGAAUAUUUUGAUCAGCUCCUUUCAUGCUCAUUCUUCCAGGAAAUCAAGCUUGGACCCAAGACAUACUACUUGGUGCACGGCUUACUCCAUGAUCUUGCAAAGUCUGUUGCAGCGGAGGACUGCUUCCGUAUUGACGAUGGCAUGAACUGUGACAUCCCGUCAACAGUGCGCCAUCUGUCUGUCACCAUGAACAGUCUACCUGGUCUUACAAGCUUCUGCAGUCUAGAAGAGCUGCGCACCUUGUUAAUCCGACCGUCACUUCCGUCCAACCCCAGUUGCUCCCAAGAAGAUUUUGCUGUGAAUUUAAUUAGUAUCCUGGAGAAGUCAAAACAGUUGCGUGUUCUUGAUCUCAGUUGCCUUAACUCUGAAGAGUUGCCCCACUGCAUUGAUGACUUAUUGCACCUCCGUUACCUAUCUAUCCAUGGCUCCGUCCAGAGGCUUCCUGAGUCGAUUGGCAAGCUCCUGCAUCUGCAAGUAUUGUGCUUCACUGGGAAAUGUUCUUUUGAUAAGCUUCCUGAGAGUGUUACUAUGCUGGUCAAUUUGCGGCACCUUCUUGUUGAAACCAAGUGUACUGCAGGAUUGGCAGGCAUUGGUCGGCUAGCUAACCUUCAGGGAUCACUUGAGUUCCACGUUGAGAAGAGGGAAGGGCAUAAACUAGAGGAGUUGAGGAACAUCAAUGGUCUCCGUGGGUUACUAAAAAUAGAAGGUCUAGAAAAUGUUUCAAGCUGUGAAGAAGCCUGCAAAGCUGAGUUGAGUAAGAAAACACAUCUUAAUUCUCUGAAUUUUGAAUGGAGCUCUGCUAGUAGGAAUAAUCCGCCUCCUGCUGACGCAAAGGUACUUGAAGGCCUACAGCCGCACCAAGACAUUAAGGUACUUCAUAUAAGAAGGUAUUGUGGCGCCAAAGCUCCCAGUUGGCUACAGUCAUUGCAGCAAGUGCGUUCUUUGCACCUCAUCAAUUGCAGGAGUUUGGGCAGCCUUCCUCCAUUGGGAAAUUUGGGAUCACUCACAUAUUUACACAUGAAGGAGCUGUGUGCAGUUGACCGAAUUGGACAUGAGUUUUAUGGCAACAGUGAUGUGGCAUUUCCAUCUCUAAGUGUCCUUGAAUUUGAUGAUUUCCCAAAGUUGUGUGAGUGGGCUAGAAUAGAGGACAAGAACUCAUUUCCAUGCCUUAAAAGAUUAAUUAUAGUGGAUUGUCCAGAAUUGGUCAAAAUUCCAUCGUUCCCCGCAACUACUCGUGAAGUUACCAUUGAGCGUACAUCCUUCAUGCCAUACAUGAGGCUUGCGCCUUUUUCUUCAAGUUCAGAGAAGCUACAGCUGGAUGUUUGCACAACUUCUGUCCACUUCAAUGGGUUACUCCAUAAGCAGCAUGUAGAGGCUGUUGUAGCCUUGAACAUAAGUGGUGCUGAACAAGUUGGUGUUGCUGAAGAAAUAGGGUCGCUUGUUUCUCUACAGAGGUUGCAGCUUAGUCGAUGCAACUUUACUGAACAGAAUUUUAGUAAUUUUCUCCAGGCUCUCCCUUGUCUGUCCUCGUUGGAGAUGAUAGACCUGCCCAACAUAACAUCUCUUCCACCAUCAGAAACACUUAGGUGCAGCACCAUGCUCACUGAGUUGUCCAUACGCAACUGCCAGUUUUUGCACUCUCUAUCCUCGUUGCAGUUUUUUGAUUCAUUAAAAUUUCUGGUGAUCGAGAGAUGUCCUAAAGUUACUGCGGCAUCAUUUCCGUCGAACUUCAGUUCUCUCAAAGUGCUGAGAAUAUCGUACUGCUCAGAGCUCCAAUCUUUGCCAGAGUGUGGUCUGCCAUCCUCAUUGGAAACACUUCAUGUUAUUGGGUGCCACCCCGAGUUGUCCAGGCAGUCAAGAAACAUGAAAGGACAUUGCAGUGAGAAGAUUGCUUUGGUACCUAGCGUGUUGAUUCAGUGA